rnacentral:sRNA from 1 species
GCAAUAGAUGAAGCAUAUGAGCGGAUGCGGUGACGCCCUCUGAAAGGGGGGGGAGCCUAUGACAGUAUACCAAUCAUUAACAUUAAUGAUUAGUUUUGCAGUGCUAGUGCUGAUGCUGUCAAAUAAAAAGAAAUAAUCCGUCUCGUAUGCCAUUCACGGUGGCUAAGACGGAUUACCCUCAAUUUGUGUAAUUUGUUCAAGCAUCGUUCCGCUCUUAUUGCGGAUAUUGCCAUCCCGUCAGUGUUCAUGCACUGGCG